CUCUCCUAGACAUCUCUCCUAAAGACAUCGCUCCUAAAGACAUCUCUCCUAAAGACAUCUGUCCUAGACAUCUCUCCUAGAGACAUCUCUCCUAAAGACAGCUCUCCUAGAGACAUCUCUCCUAAAGACAUCUCUCCUAGAGACAUCUCUCCUAAAGACAUCUCUCCUAGAGACAUCUCUCCUAGACAUCUCUCCUAAAGACAUCUCUCCUAGACAUCUCUCCUAGACAUCUCUCCUAGACAUCUCUCCUAAAUACAUCUCUCCUAGAGACAUCUCUCCUAGACAUCUCUCCUAGACAUCUCUCCUAAAGACAUCUCUCCUAAAGACAUCUCUCCUAGACAUCUCUCCUAAAGACAUCUCUCCUAAAGACAUCUCUCCCAAAGACAUCUCUCCUAGAGACAUCUCUCCUAGAGACAUCUCUCCUAAAGACAUCUCUCCUAAAGACAUCUCUCCUAGAGACAUCUCUCCUAAAGACAUCUCUCCUAGAGACAUCUCUCCUAAAGACAUCUCUCCUAGAGACAUCUCUCCUAAAGACAUAUCUCCUAGAUACCUCUCCUAGAGACAUCUCUCCUAAAGACAUCUCUCCUAGACAUCUCUCCUAAAGACAACUCUCCUAAAGACAUCUCUCCUAAAGACAUAUCUCCUAGAUACCUCUCCUAGAGACAUCUCUCCUAAAGACAUCUCUCCUAGACAUCUCUCCUAAAGACAACUCUCCUAAAGACAUAUCUCCUAGCCAUCUCUCCUAAAGACAUCUCUCCUAGACAACUCUCCUAAAGACAUCUCUCCUAAAGACAUAUCUCCUAGACAUAUCUCUUGAAGACAUCUCUCCUAGACAUCUCUCCUAAAGACAUCUCUCCAAGACAUAUCUCCUAGCCAUCUCUCCUAAAGACAUCUCUCCUAGACAACUCUCCUAAAGACAGGUCUCCUAGCCAUCUCUCCUAAAGACAUCUCUCCUAGAGACAUCUCUCCUAAAGACAUCUCUCCUAAAGACAGGUCUUAUAGCCCCGUUGUAUUGACGCUGGGCUGACGCGUGUUCUAUACCAUCUUAAUGUACAGGUAACAGGGCUAAUUCAGUGAACAGUCAUUAUUGUAUUUAUUCAUGUCUACUCUAUAUGUUGGCCGUAGUGUGAUAAGGACAGCGCUACUCAGAAGGGCCGGACUAACAAAUGACACAUUAACAUCAAAUAAAUAACAUAAAUGUAUUGUUUUAUUUAAGGCCUUCUCCGCUACUUUGUUCACAGUGAAUAAUAUGAUACUCUACCUGUUAUGAUGAAUACAUAAGGGUUAAAAAGAUAGCUGAACGGAGAUGAACACUGUAGCCCGUUUGCAGUCAGAAGAUAACUGAACAGAGAUGAACACUGUAGCCAGUUUGCAGUCAGAAGAUAGCUGAACGGAGAUGAACACUGUAGCCAGUUUGCAGUCAGAAGAUAACUGAACGGAGAUGAACACUGUAG
ensembl:lncRNA